AUUGAACGCUGGCGGCAGGCCUAACACAUGCAAGUCGAGCGGAUGAAGGGAGCUUGCUCCUGGAUUCAGCGGCGGACGGGUGAGUAAUGCCUAGGAAUCUGCCUGGGAGCGGGGGAUAACGUCCGGAAACGGGCGCUAAUACCGCAUACGCCCUGAGGGAGAAGGUGGGGGAGCUUCGGACCUCACGCUAUCAGAUGAGCCUAGGUCGGAUUAGCUAGUUGGUGGGGUAAAGGCCCACCAAGGCGACGAUCCGUAACUGGUCUGAGAGGAUGAGCAGUCACACUGGAACUGAGACACGGUCCAGACUCCUACGGGAGGCAGCAGUGGGGAAUAUUGGACAAUGGGCGCAAGCCUGAUCCAGCCAUGCCGCGUGUGUGAAGAAGGUCUUCGGAUUGUAAAGCACUUUAAGUUGGGAGGAAGGGCAGUAAGUUAAUACCUUGCUGUUUUGACGUUACCAACAGAAUAAGCACCGGCUAACUUCGUG
rnacentral:rRNA from 1 species